rnacentral:rRNA from 1 species
GACGAACGCUGGCGGCGUGCUUAACACAUGCAAGUCGAACGGAAAGGCCCUGCUUUUGUGGGGUGCUCGAGUGGCGAACGGGUGAGUAACACGUGAGUAACCUGCCCUUGACUUUGGGAUAACUUCAGGAAACUGGGGCUAAUACCGGAUAGGAGCUCCUGCUGCAUGGUGGGGGUUGGAAAGUUUCGGCGGUUGGGGAUGGACUCGCGGCUUAUCAGCUUUUUGGUGGGGUAGUGGCUUACCAAGGCUUUGACGGGUAGCCGGCAUGAGAGGGUGACCGGCAACAUGGGGACUGAGAUACGGACCAGAAUCCAACGGGAGGCAGCAGUGGGGAAUAUUGCACAAUGGGCGGAAGCGUGAUGAAGAAACGCCGCGUGCGGGAUGACGGCCUGCGGGUUGUAAACCGCUUUCGAAUGUGACGAAGAGUGAGUGACGGUAAUGGGUAAAGAAGCACCGGCUAACUACGUG